GUGCCUACGGACACGUUUCGGCUCCAGUUCUCCCCUCUGGUUUGCCUCCAGCUCUUGCGGACAACAUCAGCCCUCUGGGGACUUGGACUGAUUCUCCAGUUAGCGCAUACCUGUCCCACUCCUGUCUGCAAGAUUUGGAGCCCUGUCUGUGCUUCCAGUUCAGACUUCACCAGCCCUGCAGGGAGGACAAAGGGACCACUGCAGUGCUGGGUACAGAGAGGACACCAGAGCAUCUGAGACAAGACAACCACAGAUUCAUCAGCCUCACCAUUGCUAGAGUUGUAGAGAAAGGCUGCCUACCUGUCCCUUGGACGGGGCUCUGGGGGGCGAAGCCUGGGGAUGCGCUCCAUCUCCUGAGAGAUCACAUACUGGGUGAGGUCAUCGUGCCAGGACAAUCCUGUCAGG
rnacentral:lncRNA from 1 species